rnacentral:rRNA from 1 species
AUAUCUCGGCUCUCGCCACGAUGAAGAAUGUAGCGAAAUGCGAUACUUAGUGUGAAUUGCAGAAUCCCGUGAAUCAUCAAGUCUUUGAACGCAAGUUGCGCCCGAGGCCUCGGCCAAGGGCACGUCUGCUUGGGCGUCGCACUACA